GGGGCGGUAGCUCAGCCCGGGAGAGCACUCGGCUGAAGACCGAGGCGUCGUGGGUUCAAAUCCCACCCGUCCCA
rnacentral:tRNA from 1 species